rnacentral:rRNA from 1 species
UGCAGUCGAGCGAACAGAUAAGGAGCUUGCUCCUUUGAAGUUAGCGGCGGACGGGUGAGUAACACGUGGGUAACCUACCUAUAAGACUGGAAUAACUUCGGGAAACCGGAGCUAAUGCCGGAUAACAUAUAGAACCGCAUGGUUCUAUAGUGAAAGAUGGUUUUGCUAUCACUUAUAGAUGGACCCGCGCCGUAUUAGCUAGUUGGUAAGGUAAUGGCUUACCAAGGCGACGAUACGUAGCCGACCUGAGAGGGUGAUCGGCCACACUGGAACUGAGACACGGUCCAGACUCCUACGGGAGGCAGCAGUAGGGAAUCUUCCGCAAUGGGCGAAAGCCUGACGGAGCAACGCCGCGUGAGUGAUGAAGGUUUUCGGAUCGUAAAACUCUGUUAUUAGGGAAGAACAAAUGCGUAAGUAACUGUGCGCAUCUUGACGGUACCUAAUCAGAAAGCCACGGCUAACUACGUGCCAGCAGCCGCGGUAAUACGUAGGUGGCAAGCGUUAUCCGGAAUUAUUGGGCGUAAAGCGCGCGUAGGCGGUUUCUUAAGUCUGAUGUGAAAGCCCACGGCUCAACCGUGGAGGGUCAUUGGAAACUGGGAAACUUGAGUGCAGAAGAGGAAAGUGGAAUUCCAUGUGUAGCGGUGAAAUGCGCAGAGAUAUGGAGGAACACCAGUGGCGAAGGCGACUUUCUGGUCUGUAACUGACGCUGAUGUGCGAAAGCGUGGGGAUCAAACAGGAUUAGAUACCCUGGUAGUCCACGCCGUAAACGAUGAGUGCUAAGUGUUAGGGGGUUUCCGCCCCUUAGUGCUGCAGCUAACGCAUUAAGCACUCCGCCUGGGGAGUACGACCGCAAGGUUGAAACUCAAAGGAAUUGACGGGGACCCGCACAAGCGGUGGAGCAUGUGGUUUAAUUCGAAGCAACGCGAAGAACCCUUACCAAAUCUUGACAUCCUUUGAAAACUCUAGAGAUAGAGCCUUUCCCCUUUCGGGGGACAAAGUGACAGUGUGCAUGAUGUCGUCAGCUCGUGUCGUGAGAUGUUGG